rnacentral:rRNA from 1 species
CAGUAGCCGCGGGAAUACGUAGGGUGCAAGCGUUAAUCGGAAUUACUGGGCGUAAAGCGUGCGCAGGCGGUUUUGUAAGACAGAGGUGAAAUCCCCGGGCUCAACCUGGGAACUGCCUUUGUGACUGCAAGGCUAGAGUACGGCAGAGGGGGAUGGAAUUCCGCGUGUAGCAGUGAAAUGCGUAGAUAUGCGGAGGAACACCGAUGGCGAAGGCAAUCCCCUGGGCCUGUACUGACGCUCAUGCACGAAAGCGUGGGGAGCAAACAGGAUUAGAUACCCCCGUAGUCCCUGUCUCUUAUAC